UAGCUCACUGGUAGAGCACUUGCCUAGCGUGCAUGAGGCCCUGAGUUAGAUCCUCAG
rnacentral:tRNA from 1 species